GGAUGUUCAGGUCUGGGACUCAGAGCAGAGCCCAAGGCCUGCCCGCCUCCUCUGAACCUGGAGGUGGUGUAGGUAGAACAGAACAUCUGGCCUCACUCAUCCUUCCCGCCAAGGCGUCCUUGCCUGUAUUUAUAUACACUAAAACCUCUGCCCAGAUAAAACAGCCAUGUAAAAUCCAAUUUCCUCAGAAUCUCUUUUGGAGCCUGGGCCUGAGAGAUGGAGUUAGGUAACCCCGGCGGUUACCGCCUGAACCACUCCUGCUGGCUGCAAAGCUUGUAACCUGUCCCCUCCUGGACUGUGAAAAGAACAUAUAGCCCGACCUCCCUGCCAACAAGCUGUACCAUUGGGAAGAGGAGAGCCCAACGGUAGAAGCUCAUCAAUGAUUCCCAGCCUCUGUUUCCAUCAGAAUUGCUUGAUGAAGCUCCUUUAACACAAAUAGAUUUACUCACAUUCCUUAACUGUAAAAGGUGUGCAUGUGCCAGCAGGGGGUUCUGGAAUCAUGUACCUUUGUCAGAGCUCCCCCAUUUAAUUCUGAUACAAUUCCACGUAUUACCUAAAGAGAACCACUACUGAUGCGUUGGGUUUUUGUUUGUUUGUUUGUUUGUUUUGGUUGAAUGUGGUAGCUCAGCCCUGGGUAUUUGCCCUUGUGAAUAUGCCCAUGUCACAAAUGUGUGAAUGUUGGGUAUCUGUGUGAUUGG
rnacentral:lncRNA from 1 species